GAAGUGCGAUAAGCAGUGCGAAUUGCAGAACCGUGAGUCAUCAGAUUUUUGAACGCAACUGGCGCCGAUUGGUACUCCAGUCGGCAUGCUUGUUUCAGUGUCUUGUUUUCUCCUCACCCAAAUCCUAAUGCGAGAGAUGCCCUUCUCUUGUUAAACUCGAAAGCACUCUGCGCUCUGCAGGCGACUUCGGCUUGUCCGAUGGUCGCACUCAAUGCAGCAGUCACAUUGCUCACAAUGUGAACUCAUUGAGAGUAGAGGCAGCGCAGCGCAAGCUGCAAGAGCUUAGCCAUCUUAACUUUACUUGCAUCUGAAAUCAAGCAGGAUUACCCGCUGAACUUAA
rnacentral:misc_RNA from 1 species